rnacentral:rRNA from 1 species
GGGGGAAUUUUGGACAAUGGGCGCAAGCCUGAUCCAGCCAUGCCGCGUGUCUGAAGAAGGCCUUCGGGUUGUAAAGGACUUUUGUCAGGGAAGAAAAGGGCGGGGUUAAUACCCCUGUCUGAUGACGGUACCUGAAGAAUAAGCACCGGCUAACUACGUGCCAGCAGCCGCGGUAAUACGUAGGGUGCGAGCGUUAAUAGGAAUUACUGGGCGUAAAGCGGGCGCAGACGGUUACUUAAGCAGGAUGUGAAAUCCCCGGGCUCAACCUGGGAACUGCGUUCUGAACUGGGUGACUAGAGUGUGUCAGAGGGAGGUAGAAUUCCACGUGUAGCAGUGAAAUGCGUAGAGAUGUGGAGGAAUACCGAUGGCGAAGGCAGCCUCCUGGGAUAACACUGACGUUCAUGCCCGAAAGCGUGGGUAGCAAACA